AUGAAUAAUGAUGGUCUAAGCGCG
rnacentral:siRNA from 1 species